rnacentral:rRNA from 1 species
UACGUAGGGAGCAAGCGUUGUUCGGAAUUACUGGGUGUAAAGGGAGCGUAGGCGGGAUGGCAAGUUGGGUGUUAAAUCUACCGGCUCAACUGGUAGUCGCACUCAAAACUGCUAUUCUUGAGUGAAGUAGAGGCAGGCGGAAUUCCUAGUGUAGCGGUGAAAUGCGUAGAUAUUAGGAGGAACACCAGUGGCGAAGGCGGCCUGCUGGGCUUUUACUGACGCUGAGGCUCGAAAGUGUGGGGAGCAAACAGG